UACGGAGGGGGCUAGCGUUGUUCGGAAUUACUGGGCGUAAAGCGCGCGUAGGCGGCUUUGUAAGUUAGAGGUGAAAGCCCGGAGCUCAACUCCGGAAUUGCCUUUAAGACUGCAUCGCUAGAAUCAUGGAGAGGUGAGUGGAAUUCCGAGUGUAGAGGUGAAAUUCGUAGAUAUUCGGAGGAACACCAGUGGCGAAGGCGACUUUCUGGUCUGUAACUGACGCUGAGGCGCGAAAGCGUGGGGAGCAAACAGG
rnacentral:rRNA from 1 species